AAGAUAGAAUUCUAUAUAUAAUAAUAAGUACAAUAAAUUACUUGUAAAAUUCUAUUCGCUAUACGGAUGAACGUAAUAAUUUAUAAGAUUAAUUUUUGAUGCAUUUUUUGUAAUUUUUUAAUACGGGCUGAUUAAAUUUAAGAGUUGCCAAAUGCUAAACUGAACACUUAUGAUCUCUGACUUAUAAUUUCUAAUUAUCCUAAUUUCUUUUUUUUAUCAUCUUUAAUCUCAUUUAAUUAUUAUCACUCUCAUGUUCUAAGUUAUCACUACAUUUCUUCUUUAUCAUGGAUAGAUAGAAAUUAAGACAGAUAAUUUUUAAGUCUUGUUGUUGGUAAUUCUGGUGACAAAGGUUAAUCGGCUAUCAAGUUGACCAGUGUGUAUAAGUAUAUGCGAGACCGACACACUGGACACUGAAUUUAAAAAUAAUAAGGUUGAAUUAUAGCACUUAUAUAAAAAAAAAAUUGUUCCGAACAAGAUAUAGAAACGUCUACAAUUUUUGCCCAUUAGUUAACCACAAUCUCUUCCCUACCUGUCCAUAUGGAAAGAAAACGACGAAAGACGCGGACACAUUAUAUAUCUAAUAUAAUAAUCAUUUGGCUCCAAUUACAGUCAGCUGAUCGUGUUGAGAAAAAGUUCGCGAGAAGUAUGUAUCAUGCCGUGUCAGUCGCACGUGUUUUCAAAACGCACGGCACAAGCAGAGACGAAGACGGCAUCGUCGAGAUGCCCGCUAGAUCGGGCAAAAUCAAAACGUUCGCAAACGCGGAUCGCGAAAGACGGCGGUGUU